rnacentral:rRNA from 1 species
AGCAAUACAAGGCAUACGGCUCAGUAACGCGUAGUCAACCUAACCUAUGGACGGGAAUAACCUCGGGAAACUGAGAAUAAUGCCCGAUAGAACAUUAUGCCUGGAAUGGUUUAUGUUCCAAAUGAUUUAUCGCCGUAGGAUGGGACUGCGGCCUAUCAGUUUGUUGGUGAGGUAAUGGCCCACCAAGACUAUUACAGGUACGGGCUCUGAGAGGAGUAGCCCGGAGAUGGGUACUGAGACACGGACCCAGGCCCUAUGGGGCGCAGCAGGCGAGAAAACUUUGCAAUGUGCGAAAGCACGACAAGGUUAAUCCGAGUGGUUUCUGCUAAAGAAACCUUUUGUCAGUCCUAGAAACACUGAUGAAUAAGGGGUGGGCAAGUUCUGGUGUCAGCCGCCGCGGUAAAACCAGCACCUCAAGUGGUCAGGAUGAUUAUUGGGCCUAAAGCAUCCGUAGCCGGCUCUGUAAGUUUUCGGUUAAAUCUGUACGCUCAACGUACAGGCUGCCGGGAAUACUGCAGAGCUAGGGAGUGGGAGAGGUAGACGGUACUCGGUAGGAAGGGGUAAAAUCCUUUGAUCUAUUGAUGACCACCUGUGGCGAAGGCGGUCUACCAGAACACGUCCGACGGUGAGGGAUGAAAGCUGGGGGAGCAAACCGGAUUAGAUACCCGGGUAGUCCCAGCUGUAAACUAUGCAAACUCAGUGAUGCAUUGGCUUGUGGCCAAUGCAGUGCUGCAGGGAAGCCGUUAAGUUUGCCGCCUGGGAAGUACGUACGCAAGUAUGAAACUUAAAGGAAUUGGCGGGGGAGCACCACAAGGGGUGAAGCCUGCGGUUCAAUUGGAGUCAACGCCGGA